GCUCUGAGUUCAUCAGAAGAGAUGAAGGUACGUCCACAUUGCUCCACCAGAAAAGGGUGGUAAAAGAGAUAAUGGGGUUAUGUCUUUGACUAGGUGCAGGAAACGUGGAGGAUUGUGGAGACGCUUAGCUGACCUUUCUGUGGGUUUUAUGGCUGGAUACUAAGCGACCUGAUGCCAGAUCUCUACAGUAAUGAAAAGAAAGGUCCUGUACACUGGACUGAGCUAAUCAUCACAGAGGAAAGUGUAGCUGCAUGGAAACUGCUUAUUGGGAAUGGUUGCUUGCCUGUGCUAAUUACUGAGCUGUGAUGAGGAACAGUUUGGGACAGUGCUGGUUGACUAAAAGGAUACCAGGAACAAUUCCAACAAUUUAACAAGAAGGCUUCAAUUUACUACUUCUCCUGGGAAGAAAACAGCAUUUUCAAAGGCACAAAGAAUGUGCGGAUGCCCAUGUCUUGUUGACAUUUUUGAAAGUCGCCAUUUAAGUGGGACGAUUUACUUAAUAGCCAUAUUUUACUUGAUUCUUUAUCAAGUGGCUUUAUUAAAUCCUUAAAAACAUUGUCUUCUCUUAGAACUAGUUCUGACAAAAAAAAAAAAAAAAAAGGGCCAGGACAUUUCCUCUCAAAACACUGCAGUCACAUAAAUGUAAGCUACACUGUUUUCCGUUACUACAGAACACUGAAGUUUAUUUUUAUAAGGUUGCUAGGCAGUUAAACCACCUUGAAAGAAAGGAACUAUCUGUGUGAAAGCAUGUACAACAAAGUUAUUGAUGGAAUACUAAAUAAAAAAAGAAUACGCAAGAGCUAAAUCUGGAGAUAUUUACUGGCGCACUGCUAUUGUAUUCCAGCAACACUGACAUUUCAGUCUGCAGUUUUCAACAGCCACUGCAAUAUAAUUUAAGCCUCAAAAUCAAAACUGUCAGCACUUUUGGACCCAAGAGAUGGGGAAAAACUUUAUUUUAAAACAGCAUUUUUCUUUCCUCCAACUUUGUAAGUCUCACAAGUACAUAGUAGGUUGCACUUAGUCUUCCUCUUGGAAGAAGAAUUCCUCACUGUGUUUGAUGUGAAACUGUAGAACCACAAGAGUAAUUUAGGUGUAAAGGGACCUCUAGAAUUCACCUACUGCAACCUCUUGUGCAAACCAUGGCCAGCUUCAAAGCAAGAUCUGGCCUGAAAGCCAUCUUGAGCACUGGAAGUCCAGCAUUGUCUAGAAUGAGAAGGGUUGUAAUUUGCAUAUAAAGGGAGGAGCCCUGCGACAAUGUCAAAAUGUCACUAUGUACCUGAUGUCCCCUACCCCUCCUCAAGCUCUAAACUUCAAAUGGACCAUCUGGAUUUCCCCAGGCCACGCUACAGCAGCUGGCACAGCUCUGUGCUGUGAGUGGGAGUGAUUGCUGAGGUCUGAGCAGGACUUGGCCACACUUGGCUGUCAGAUAUGGCACAUCAAAGGCCCAUCUGCCAGACCUUCCCAAGAAGCACUGGUGAACAAACACAGAGCAAAGAAGGAAAAGAGGUCAUCUCUUGCCAUUGCCUUUUAUAGGAGAUAUAAGGAGAAAUGAGCUUCUGUCUUGGGGGAAAGACGGAAAUGCUUGAAACCCACCACUCAUUGCAAAGAAGGUGCCGAGUGAGGCUGUGAGCACUGUUCUUUCAGAAAGAAAGCUAGAGAAACCCCUCAUGGCCUAGGAGAUGUGAAGUAGGUUGGAUACGCCUCCUCCCUCCUACUUCUUCCAAACAGAGUGGAGGAGAGAUUAAAUUUACAGUGUGGUUGCUCUGAAAGUGUGGGACACUGAGAUGCCCCUAAGAUGUCAGAAGUUGUCUAUGUGGUAUAUUGUGGGCAGAUGCAUGGAAAAGAUGAGUCAUUUUCCAUGCAAAAGCUGUGUAAUGGCAGAAUAAGUUAAUUCUGCUUUGCUGAGAGGCCAGAAACUUUGUGAAGGCUGGAUGGAUGCAUUGGCUUAGGGUCAGUGCCCUGCUAUCGGGAGCACACAGUUGGCUGAUGUCCCAGCACAGGCAGAGUGUCCUGCCAUUUGUCUGUAAUGUGGUGUGGAGAUAUACCUGACUAAUCGAUUAGUCUCCAGGGAUGUCCAUAUAGACAACAAUGAACCUGCUGGAGACAGCAUUGGAGGCUGGUGAAGAGUGGGAUUUCCUGAAACAAUCAUUUAUUUGAACUGGUCUAGACUUCCAAAUUCCACGAAUCAGUAGUUUCUAUGUAUUUUAGCACUUGUGAUUUUGUACAUCUUCUGUAACUGUAGCUUUGCACCUGCUUUUGUAACUCUGGUUCUCCUGCUCUUUAAGCUGAUUUUGCAAGGUUGCCAAUGGAUCUGUCACAGGUCAAAGAGAUCAUUGCUUCAUUUUGGGAAGCAGAGUAAGUAGAAAGAUUUUGUAAAGAAGCGAUAUUCAAUAUUCCUGCAUCAUUAGACUAAGCCAAAGCACAAUGUGGUUUCUGCAGCGUAAUCUCAGCCUGACAUUGCCACCAUUUUAAUAAUCAUGCAUCAGUAGUGAGAAGGCCUGAGUGAAAUUAACUGCUUUUCUCCAUCAAAUUUUAAGUAGACCAGUGCCGAGGCAUGAAAACAACCAUCAAAUCCAGCAAAAAGUUUCCCUGAGUAAAAUGCAUAGCUGAUAGGCCAGAAGAAAAAUUGUGAAAAAUUAAAUGGGUCUUCUUCCCCUCUUUUGUGUAGUAGGUUUGAAGCACAGUCCUGCAGGGAGGAUGGUCUCUGUGAACUUCAGCUCAAGAUGAACAGAGCACUCAACUUCAGAACUGCAGAUCUGGUACAUUUCAUUCAUGCUCAGGUCACAUUAAAUGUUUAUCGACAUUUAUGUGAUGCCAACAGAAAUAACAAGGGAACUCCAUACAUAGCGAGGAGCUUUUACCAAAUUUGUUGUGUUGCCUAUUGCAAAAAUCUCACAGUAUUUCCUCUUCACAGAAGAGUGUUAAAGACUACCUGGAACAGAGGUAGGAUCGCUAGGCCCCUUUUUCUGGGCUUCCUGCUAUUGCCAAGCCCCUCAGGUGGGAGCUCAUCAGGUCACUGCCAUAAUGUUGGAGUGUACCAUACAAGGGGUUUGAACUACCUUCUACUUUCAGAGAUGAGUGUGCCCUAAAGCAAAAUGCUUCAUCCCUUCUCUCCCUCCUAUCCCUUGACUUGUCUAGCUGAACCAAACAACCCCUGCCUUUUGGGACAGAGUAGGUUGCUCUUGUUAAGAAAGGGAUAGCAUUUAAAUACUUUCCCUGAUGAAGAGGUUCCCACCAGCUCUUAAUUACUUCCCAUUCUGCCUUUCUCCACUGUGCUAUUCCAGCUCCUCAGAUCAGCUGGUGCAAGCAUUCAUGGGACCAUGCCCUAGGUGGGAUCAGUGAAAUGAGUAAAAACAAAUGAAUAAAUGAGAGAUGGGAUUGUAGUAACUUUCAAAUGAGAAGCAAAGUGAACUCAGGAGCAAUGAGGAUCCACUGCUCACUACAGCUCUCCACCAGGUCUGCAACUUUAGCUGUAGCACCUCAAGAAGGAAGUCACUCCUUGAUCACCUCUUCCAUAAGUUAUAACAGCAACUACACUAGCAAGUAACAGCUUCACGCAGCGUGCUCAUCCUAAACCUACUGCAGCAAGACCCCGAGCUCAGUUGAAGCCUCUUGGUGCUACUGUAAUUCAGCUAAUUAAUGCUAAUUUUAGUCACUUGUUCCUGUGUAUCCUAGAGAAUGGAGUGACUAUUCAUUAGCCUUGGUGUGUACUUUGA